GUGCCAGCCGCCGCGGUAACACGUAGGCACCAAGCGUUGUCCGGAUUUAUUGGGCGUAAAGAGCUCGUAGGCGGUUCAGUAAGUCAGGUGUGAAAUCUUUGGGCUUAACCCAAAGCGUGCACUUGAUACUGCUGUGACUUGAGUUCGGUAGGGGAGUGGGGAAUUCCUAGUGUAGCGGUGAAAUGCGCAGAUAUUAGGAGGAACACCGGUGGCGAAGGCGCCACUCUGGGCCGAAACUGACGCUGAGGAGCGAAAGCGUGGGUAGCAAACAGGAUUAGAUACCCCGGUAGUCC
rnacentral:rRNA from 1 species